AUUGAACGCUGGCGGCAGGCCUAACACAUGCAAGUCGAGCGAGCGGCGGAGGGGUGAGUAAUGUCUGGGAAACUGCCUGAUGGAGGGGGAUCACUACAGGACACGGUAGCUAAUACCGCAUACCAUCGGAUGUGCCCAGAGGGGAUUAGCUAGUAGGUGGGGUAAAGGCUCACCUAGGCGACGAUCCCUAGCUGGUAUGAGAGGAUGACCAGCCACACUGGAACUGAGACACGGUCCAGACUCCUACGGGAGGCAGCAGUGGGGAAUAUUGCACAAUGGGCGCAAGCCUGAUGCAGCCAUGCCGCGUGUAUGAAGAAGGCCUUCGGGUUGUAAAGUACUUUCAGCGGGGAGGCGUUACCCGCAGAAGAAGCACCGGCUAACUCCGUGCCAGCAGCCGCGGUAAUUC
rnacentral:rRNA from 1 species